rnacentral:lncRNA from 1 species
GACUGUGGCUUCAUUCACGUGUACCUGGGUCAUUCCCAGCCCUAGGGUCACCUCCUUAGAGGGACCCCUGAACUUGAACUUGGGGGCUUGCGUAGGAUGGUCAUUGAGCCUCGAGGUGGGGAGAUAGGGAUGACAAUUGUUGGUGUCGCAGCUAGUGCCCCUCGGGGUGCCUGCUGUCCGCAGGGCACUGUGCCGGGUACUUUCUUCAGCUCCUUCAGAGCCCGUACAGCAAAUCGAGUUCAUUGGAAAGGCUAUUCCUGUUCCGCAGGUGGAGAAGCCGAGGUCAGGGCAGAGUAGUGCCAGGUGCAUCCACAGCUCUGAAUGGAGACUCCAGAGCCCUGAGUGGGCACCACCAUGCUUCUCAAAGCUGGAGGGUUUUUUACCCUGAGUUCAUGGCCCCAUUCAGUCUGGAUUCUGCACGUUCCCUCGCACGUCGUGGCAGACAGUCCAGUGGCUGGAGGUCAGGGUGGUGUACAGGGCAGCCCUGAAAAAACUGGUGGUGUUCCAGUCCAAAAACUUCUCUUGAGCCAAAGCUGGAGACAGGCUUCCUUGAAGGCACGGGCCAGAUUUGGCCUGGCACCUGUUUUUGUUCAGCCUGUGAGCUAAGAGUGGUUUUAUAUUUGUAAAUGGCCCCCAAAAGAAUGACAUGCCGUGACACAUGAAAUGAUAUGAAAUUCACAUGUUGGAGGCCACGGGGCUGUGUGGGAGCCCAGCCCCACACCCUCAUUUAGGUGCUCUCUGGGGUGGCUUUCUCUCCGCAAAGUGUUGCACCAGAGACCCUCUGGCCCCUGGAGGCCUGAAGUCUGGACUCCCUGGCCGUUUCCAGAACCAGCCUGCUUUGAGGCCUGCCCCACCUCCUACUGUGGCCUGCCAUCCUCCUCUCUCCGGACCUCAUCUUCAUUUGCACCCUAUUCCCACCUCACCUUGCUUGCUGAAACUGGUAGUCCACACUUAGAGAGUCGUUUGUUUGACGUGAAUCUUUUCUCCCAGUUACAAUGCCGAAAGUAAGAGGUGUCAUCUUAAACUGGAUCAGUCAUGUAUACUGCAGGAUGGGAAGGGACUGGUGCUGGCCUUGUCAGAGCAGAGCAGGGCUGCUGCAUGCAACGAGUGGGUCCCGGUGCUCCUGUGCGUGCUGGGAGAGGAGGGAAGCGGGUCGUCCAGAAGAGGCCUUUGUUCGUGGCCUGCCUUUCCUUCAUCCCUGCCUUUGUCCACCAGAGGCUGGGAGUGUUGGUGGACAAAGGCCACAGCUGCGGUCCUCUCCUCCCCGGAAGAUGCCCCAUCAUAGAGCCGGGUGACACCCAGAUGCCAUGGCAGCUACUUGGUGGCAUCGUGAGGCCGGCCCACAGCUCAGAAAGCGGUGCAGCUGGGUUGACCUGCACCCUGGUGCUCACUGCGACCGGGCGCCUUCUCGAAGUGCAGGGCUUGGCCUCAGUGCUAAGGGGAGUGACCCGUUUUUGCCUUUUGACCCACGGCAGGGAGAGGCGACAGCUCUAAUUUCUCUCUUGCCCUCAGUCCCUGAUACCCCCACAUGUGGGAACCCUUGUUUCCACCAGAAACAGCAGGUGAUCGUCGCGGUCUGGGGUCCUCCUUGGAUAUUUUUCACGGUCACUUUACAUUUCAGUUGGAUUUGUGGGCUUUACAAGGCCAUUCGAGACGAGCUGGGAACUUGACUGUUGUCCUUGUUUCUAAAAGAAUGACGUUUCUGAGUGAGAAAACCAGUGAAGCCGAGACCCGCGUCCCGUCUGUGAUGUGGAGCCCCCUUUAUGCCCAUGGGUUCUUCCUUAGACGUGUCUCGGUUUGACGUGUGUGGGACGAGGCACUGGCUGUGCUGUCCGGGGCAGGUGGCUUCUUUCCUUCGUGUUUCUUCUCUCUUCUUUCUAGAUUUCUUUCUAGGUGACUGCAGUGUGCCAGAGGCACCUACCUCUUCUGGUUGAGAGGGGCGUGGAGCGGGGGUGGGAGAAGGGGUAAAAAUGAGCCAGAAUUGAAGAGAAACAGUGACAGCUCAGAUAAUUUUCCCCAGGCACCUCCCUUGGAAGCCACCAGGACAAUUGUGGAGUGGAAAUUCUCUGGUUCCUCCUGUCCUCUGACGGGAUCUAAAAAUAGCUUGAGGAGGAGCCGGCUGCAGGGCCCUUUGAUCUCCUUGGCCUGACGUUCCUGGCGGGGGAGCAGAGGCUCCAGGGACUCCGUGUUCUUUGGGCCUCGAGGCUGUGGGUGGGGCCGAGGGCUGGAAUCGUCCUGGGUCUCUCCCUCGCCCUUGCCCUGUCUCCCCUCUCUAAGUCUCUUCUGUCCACACCCGGCCUGUGCGUCCCAGGAGCGGGCAUGUGUGUGCGGAAGGCCGGCACAGGGCCGCUCACGGCUUUCCAAAGCACGGCUGGGCUGGAUUUGUCGUGGAGGCUCCUGUUCCCGAAGAGCACACCCUGACUCCCGGGGGCCCGGGGCUGGGUUGGGUUUCCUGUAGAGCAGAGGUGUCUGGACGGCCCUGGAGCUUGGAGGCGGGGUUGCGUCAGCUGCGGCUGAUGAAAUGGGGCCCUGGGGCCCUGGGGCCCUGGAGCCGGGGGCGCAGAUGAGGGGGAGGGGAGCAGGUCGGGGAGGGGGUUACCCGUGUCCCCUGCAAGCGUCCGGGGAGGCAGUCGAGGUGGGAGGAGGGUGUCGGCUCUGCGGAGGUGGCCCUGGGCGCAGAGAGGCUGCGGGGGACGCUCAGAAUCCCUGAGUCUUUCCGGGGUGGGAGCAGGGCCUCUGCCAGGGCUGCAGGUGGAAGGCAUGGGCCGUGGGGGAGGGUGGCGGCCGAGCUCGCACGCGUCUCCUUGGAGAGGCCCGGCCUCGGAGAGGCCCAGCCUGGAAGGUUGAAGGUUGGGGAGGAUAUGGAGCAGGCUUUUCGGGAGGGCAGCUGGUGUGGGUGAAGACGUUUUUUUUGGGGGGGGGGCAACAGAGCUGCUGGGUGAAAACUGACCGGAAGCGAGAGGGCCAGAGUGGGAUGAGGGAUGGGGGCUGGAAAAGGAGUACCAGGGGCAUUUCUUUUGGGGCAGAUGAGAAAGGGAUAAUGUGUAGACUCUGGGACAGCCCAAAGGAAGAGGGUUCCUUUGAGUUUUACCAAGAGAUGAGCAGCUAUGAGUGUCUUGCUGUUAUAAGAGAGCGGGGUUCUGACUCCAGGGAAGCCAGACACCCAGGACCAGCUGCAGGAGGCCGGCCGGCUUUCAGACGGUCGGCCUUGGGAACCAAGGCUGUGCGCUGGGCACGGGGGGCUUGGCAGCUUCUCUUCCUCCUGCCUCGCCCCCUCUGCCGUCGGCACCGUCCCUUGGAAUCAGAAGAGCCCUGUUCCUCCAGCCCAGUUAAGGCUUAUCUGUUAAAGAGGUUAUUUGCACGCAUUGGUUUGGUUUUUACAAACCUGUAGGUUGAGGCAUAAACCAGGGCAGACUGAAUAGGAUGGCACAAGGGUCUGAUGUAGCAGUCGCCGGUAGGGCUUUCUGCCCGGGUGAGGGGUUCUGUGCCUCACUGCCUGGGGUGGGAGCCACCGGCCGGGUGUGGCUGUGCACUGGCCCGGCUUCUGUUGAGAGGGCAAGACGGGGGCCUCCGUCGUGUCCGAGGAGGAGGAUGGUCUGUUGGCAGAGCCUCCAGGGGCCAUGGCCUGGGUAAGGCCGAAAGGGGCUGGCGGGGAAAGGCCGAGGCCCCGUGAGGGCAGAGGACUGGUGUGUGUGUGUGGGGGAGUCUGGGUGCUCACAGCCCCGAGAGCCAAAGCUGGGCUGUGUUUUACCGGCUUCUGGUUCUUCUUACUUAUUAAUUAGGCUGUAAACUACAGGAGGUUUGGGACUGAGCGGUUCCACCAAGCGUGGGGACGAGGCCAGCGCCUGCAGCACUUCGCCGGGUCUUCGUCAGUGGGUCAGGGAGGCCUCCCCAGGGAGAAGCGUGGGGGGACGAAGUCCAUCUCCCUGGGUCGGGGGAGGGCAGAGGCCGCCUCCGUGUGAGAAACGCCUUCCCCGGCCACUUCCCGGGUUCGGCUCCCCUCUUUAAAUAUCAGCUCUUGUCAAGCUCUGCAUCUUCUCUGUUGACAUUUUGCCUCGAGAAAGGAAAAUACCAUCUCAGAAUUUCCAUCUGGGAGUGAGGGUUUCUGAACGCGUCGCAAACAUGGGCUUAAUUUGGGGAGCUCAGCAAGAACGCGUGUGGUUUGGGAUUUAUUAAAAACGGUAGGUUUUGUAAGGAAAGAAAAUCCCUCACACGUCUGUCUCCUGCAGCUGCUGUAAGGCCUCUCGUCUCCUGCAGCUGCUGUAAGGCCUCUCGUCUAGCACUGAAAACAAGGCCAACGCAUUAGGAAAAAACCAGCAAAACCCUUUGCUUGAUCCCAAAGCUUCGUGCUCCGUUCCUCGUCUUCCCCCCCUCGUCACCCUUCUCGAGGGAACGGGUGUGACCCCUGCCUUCCCCGCCGCCCCACGAGCUGCGCCGCCGCGUCUCGUCGGGUGUCCGCCCCCGCUUGGAAGGAGUCCGGUCCCCGUGAACGUGGGCUUGUGGGGGCCCCGGGCUCCUCCUGCCGGUCCUCUCCCUGUACACUUGCUGAAGGGGCUCCCCAGAGCACCCGUGUCUGAGCCGCGGUGUCGGGGAGGGGAUCCUACCUUCAGAGUCCGGUGCCCAAGGCUGUGAACAGCCUGGCUUUCUUGCCCUCUGGUCAUAGGCCAGGGUCCUAAACUUUCUUUUUUUUUUUUUAUGUGGACCCCCUUCAGCCCACCAUGGAGGCCGCCGAGGCUUCCUAGAAUAGGAUUUUUAAAUGCGUUGACAAAAUAAGAUUAGGGGAGUUCCCGUCGUGGCGCAGUGGUUAACGAAUCCAACUAGGAACCAUGAGGUUGCGGGUUCGGUCCCUGCCCUUGCUCAGUGGGUUAACGAUCUGGCGUUGCCGUGAGCUGUGGUGUAGGUUGCAGACGCGGCUCAGAUCCUGCAUUGCUGUGGCUCUGGCGUAGGCUGGUGGCUACAGCUCCGAUUUGACCCCUAGCCUGGGAACCUCCAUGUGCCGCAGGAGCGGCCCAAGAAAUG